AUACAGAUACUGUUACAAUAUAAGUUAAGUGUUUUAUUGUUGUUCCCUUGCUUAAAGCAUUUGAAACAGGCCAGGGAACAGUGGCUCACGCUGGUAAUCCCAGCA
ensembl:snoRNA SNORA63 Small nucleolar RNA SNORA63